rnacentral:rRNA from 1 species
UGAACGCUGGCGGCGUGCCUAAUACAUGCACGUCGAGCGAACGGACGAGAAGCUUGCUUCUCUGAUGUUAGCGGCGGACGGGUGAGUAACACGUGGAUAACCUACCUAUAAGACUGGGAUAACUUCGGGAAACCGGAGCUAAUACCGGAUGAUAUUUUGAACCGCAUGGUUCAAAAGUGAAAGACGGUCUUGCUGUCACUUAUAGAUGGAUCCGCGCUGCAUUAGCUAGUUGGUAAGGUAACGGCUUACCAAGGCAACGAUGCAUAGCCGACCUGAGAGGGUGAUCGGCCACACUGGAACUGAGACACGGUCCAGACUCCUACGGGAGGCAGCAGUAGGGAAUCUUCCGCAAAGGGCGAAAGCCUGACGGAGCAACGCCGCGUGAGUGAUGAAGGUCUUCGGAUCGUAAAACUCUGUUAUUAGGGAAGAACAUAUGUGUAAGUAACUGUGCACAUCUUGACGGUACCUAAUCAGAAAGCCACGGCUAACUACGUG